CGAACGGUAGCACAGAGAGCUUGCUCUCGGGUGACGAGUGGCGGACGGGUGAGUAAUGUCUGGGAAACUGCCUGAUGGAGGGGGAUAACUACUGGAAACGGUAGCUAAUACCGCAUAACGUCGCAAGACCAAAGAGGGGGACCUUCGGGCCUCUUGCCAUCAGAUGUGCCCAGAUGGGAUUAGCUAGUAGGUGGGGUAACGGCUCACCUAGGCGACGAUCCCUAGCUGGUCUGAGAGGAUGACCAGCCACACUGGAACUGAGACACGGUCCAGACUCCUACGGGAGGCAGCAGUGGGGAAUAUUGCACAAUGGGCGCAAGCCUGAUGCAGCCAUGCCGCGUGUAUGAAGAAGGCCUUCGGGUUGUAAAGUACUUUCAGCGGGGAGGAAGGUGUUGAGGUUAAUAACCUCAGCAAUUGACGUUACCCGCAGAAGAAGCACCGGCUAACUCCGUGCCAGCAGCCGCGGUAAUACGGAGGGUGCAAGCGUUAAUCGGAAUUACUGGGCGUAAAGCGCACGCAGGCGGUCUGUCAAGUCGAAUGUGAAAUCCCCGGGCUCAACCUGGGAACUGCAUUCGAAACUGGCAGGCUGGAGUCUUGUAGAGGGGGGUAGAAUUCCAGGUGUAGCGGUGAAAUGCGUAGAGAUCUGGAGGAAUACCGGUGGCGAAGGCGGCCCCCUGGACAAAGACUGACGCUCAGGUGC
rnacentral:rRNA from 1 species